CGGCGAUAGCGCGGUGGUCCCACCUGACCCCAUGCCGAACUCAGAAGUGAAACGCCGUAGCGCCGAUGGUAGUGUGGGGCUUCCCCAUGUGAGAGUAGGGAACUG
rnacentral:rRNA from 1 species